UGGAAAGGGCCUGCGUGAUCCUGGCCACGGGCGUUUCGGGACACGUGUUCCAAACGACGGGAAAAGAUAAAGAGACGCUAAAGGCAGAGUUAGUUGAGAAGCCGGAGAGGACGGAUGCAAAAAGUGUGCAGAGUGUUCAUGCUAUAGCCGCAUCCAUACUAAUUAAGAAUCCAGAUGACUAGAAGGGUUGAAAUCAUGCACGCCAGGACACCCUUUUUUUUGGACCCCCCAUUUUGCCAGCUCAUAACUUUGUGAAUUUUGAAUUUUUUUCGAGCUUCAAAAACCGCCCGAAAUUCAUGCCUCUAGACCAGAGUACGUAUAGUUAUAUAUAGUUAUAUAUAAUAGUUAAAUAGAGAGGAUCGUAACAGGAUUAAACAUCCUUAACUCGAAAACUAAAAUACGUAAGGAAGAAAGAAACAAAAAGGUGGAAUAGCUAAUGGCGUAACUGAGGUAUCUACGUGCGACGACAGAUGCUAUUUACCCAGCAAAUAAUUGCGAUAUCAAAGCACAUUGUAAAUAAAGUGAGUCCAAAAGCUAGUGGUACUGUAACAUUAUU
rnacentral:lncRNA from 1 species